ACACUGUAUUGCCAAAAGUAUUCUGCUUUGGGUUUGGUGAUAUGAGGUUUGGAUGGAGCUGCUAAGCCAUAAAAACUCUCAAUUCCAUGAGUCUCUCUACUCUACUGUUCUUGAUCUAAUCUGAAUCUACAUGAAGUUUGGAGGUGUGUAGUGAUGAACUCUGAAUCUACAUGAAGUUUGGUGGUGUGUAGUGAUGAACUCUGAAGCUACAUGAAGUUUGGAGGUGUGUAGUGAUGAACUCUGAAGCUACAUGAAGUUUGGAGGUGUGUAGUGAUGAACUAAUCUGAAGCUACAUGAAGUUUGGAGGUGAACUCUGUGCACUAUGCUCCUCAGCAUCCGCUGACCCCGCUCUGUUAUUUUACACUGACAGAGUCGGUGUCAUUCCCAGUCUAUUCCACUGUUUUAUAAUAUCACUGACAGUUGGCUGUGGAAUAUUUAGUAGUGAGUAGUGAAAUUUCACGACUGGACUUUUUGUUGCACAGGUGCUGCAUCCUAUCACUGUACCACAGUGCUGGAGUUCACUGAGCUCCUGAGAGCUGAGACACAUUCUUUCAAUGUUUGUAGAAGCAGUCUGCAUGACUAGGUUAUUGAUUUUAUACACCUGUGUACAUGAAAAUGAUCAUAAACCUCUGUGUUUAAUAUGUUGGAUGGGUGAGCAAACACUUCUGGCAAUAUAGUGUAGCAUCCUAUCAGCAUAGGGCCGAUAAAGAUUUCGAUAAAGAAGCCAAAGUAUACCUUGAGUCCUUGAAAGCCUUUAUGUGUAGCUGCUGUCUCACUUGCCUUUAUCCUUUUGCCUUAUAAACUGUGUUUACUUUUUUUUUUUGUUGUUAAACUAAACUGCUUGGCCAAAAUAAAAGUUUACACACUCUAAUGUUUAGUUGGAGCUCCUUUAGCUUUGAUUGCAGCACACAUUUACUGUGGCAUUGUUUCAAUAAGCUUCUGCAAUGUCACAAGAUUUAUUUCAAUCCAGUGUUGCAUUAGAGUCUAAACACUGCACAAAGUCUUCCCCAGCACAUCCCCAAGAUUCUCAAUGAGGUUAAGGUCUGGACUCUGUGGUGAACUCUCUCAAUCCAUGUGUGAAAAUGAUGAUCUCAUGCUCCCCGAAUCACUCUUUCACAAUUCCAGCCCCAUGAAUCCUGAUAUUGUUAUUCUGGUAUAUGGCCGUGCCAUCAGAAAAAUCCAUUGAUGAAAUAACCUGGUCUGUAUUCAGUAUAUUCAGGUAGUCAGCUGACUUCAUUCUUUCAGCACAUACUGUUGCUGAACCUAAACCUGCAGACCAACUGCAGCUUCAACCCCACAUCAUUUAAAUUCAAGUGGUGACUUAGUUUUUUUGGCCAGGCAGUGUACUUUUGUCUUUUUAACCCAUCUUAGCCCAAAAAGAUCUCCUUCAGAACUUGAACUGUGACCCCUACACCCCUAGUUACGAAUCAUUGCACGCUCUUUUGAGCUAGUUAUUGUAUGCUACAAUUCAGUGUAGUUAUGUAAUAGAUAAUAUAUGCAAUUUUUUUUAAUAUUCUACUUAAAAGAAACAGCAAGGGAAAAUGUACAGGGAUUAGGUCCAUUUUAUUAAACUCUGUAUAGUUUUAAGUGUUUUAUUUUAUAAUGAGUGCAGUUUUAUGAGUAGAGAGUAACCCAGUUGUUGACCAAUGCUAAAAUGAACUUUGCUAAAUGCAGUUUAAGCACAAUAAUUGUAAAAAUGUGGCAAAAUGUGCAUGAGCUUUGCAUUCUGUGUUGCUGCUGUUACAAAAAACUUUUUUUAUCUUGUAUUUAGACAUUUUUAAGCUUUCCAAUUUGAGGUAGUAUCUAAUUUCAUACAUUUACAUUUACAUGUACAUUUACAUUACAUUACAUUACAUUUGGCAGACGCUUUUGUCCAAAGCGACUUACAAUAGUGAAGUACAAAAGUAAUAGAAGUUAAAGGUAAAAACAUCUUUAGAUAGGGCCUAAAGGAGGUCAAAGGGAGAUUGUGGGAUAAAGUGAAGGAGGGGAAGAAAGAAAUGAGGUUAGAAGUAGUUAGUAUGUUAGAGGUGUUAGGAGAGUAAGUGCUCUUUGAAGAGCUCUGUCUUCAGGAGUUUCUACAGUUUCUACAUACAGUAAUGUCAGAAAUGUGAAGUGUUAAAAUUGAAAGACUGUGUAUUCUGUUACUUUGCCCUGUUCUUUUCCUUCUAAUUUGACUCUUAAUAUAGAUCUAAUGUACUUAUUUAGUAGUGGAACAGGGAAGAUUAAACACGAUUUAAUACAGUGUUGUAAAGGUUAUGUGGGUCCACAUUAACAGGUAUUUUAUUACUGAAAGUAAUAAACUUGUUUUUUUAAUUAUCUGUGCCUAAUUUCUUUAGUACUUGUUCCUGUAAAAAGUAUAGUAAAACAUUAAACGUAAAAUGUUUUAUUUAAAGGUAAAAUUUCCUUGAAUACC